rnacentral:rRNA from 1 species
UACGUAGGGUGCGAGCGUUAAUCGGAAUUACUGGGCGUAAAGCGUGCGCAGGCGGUUUUGUAAGCCAGAUGUGAAAGCCCCGGGCUUAACCUGGGAACUGCAUUUGUGACUGCAUCGCUGGAGUGCGGCAGAGGGGGAUGGAAUUCCGCGUGUAGCAGUGAAAUGCGUAGAUAUGCGGAGGAACACCGAUGGCGAAGGCAGCCCCCUGGGCUGACACUGACGCUCAGGCACGAAAGCGUGGGGAGCAAACAGG